CCGGGAAGCCCCCCGUGCCAUAUACCCCACCCCCAUUUUAGCGCCCUCCACUCACUUUAGGGAAAUUUCAACCAUGAGAAAGGAGGUCCUGCCCUUGCCCCUCGUCCCCCUCCUCCUCCCUCCAACAGGGGAGAUUCUUCUUCCAUAGGAGCCUUGGAAGGAAACAAGAUGCCAGGCCUAGCGCGUUUGGGAAUCCUCUCUGGACAAGGCCACAGAGUGAAAACAUCAGGUGAGAACUUCACUGCCCGCGGGGCUACCCCGGGUCUCUGGAGACCCGUGCCCCCCUCCAGCUUCCUGCCUUAGCCUUUUUGUCCCGGGCUUAGCCUGGGGUUGGUUUAAGAUCUUAGCUGGAAGGCCCCUGAUCAGUUUCUCCAGAACACCCAUUAAACUGAAAGGGAAACUGAGGCCCAGAGAAGAGUAGUGACUUAACCAGGGUCACAUGGCAUGUUCCUGGAGAGUGAUGAGCCAGAGCCCAAUGAUGUAGGCUUCCGAACCAGAGGUCAAUCCUGUGUUCCUUAACCUUGAGAAUAGCUGGCACAGUGUGUCAGCCUCUGGCCCUUGCCCUGUACCCAACAGCGGAGCCAGACAUCUCCUCUUCCAGCACGGCGUCUGCUUCUUCUUCCCCAGGACAGUCCAGACCUAGAUGGGCUUUCCGGACCGCUAAUCACUCUAGACAAGCUUCUGGAUCCCAUGGACUCUAUGGCCAACCAACUAGGUUGCUACUUGCAAAUGUCUGCUUCCAUCGAAGGCUUCCUACAGGUCACCAGCUCUCUGGAAUUUUCUGGGACCAAACCUUUUCCAGACUGCUUACAAGCACCAGCUAGUUUCUGGAUGGACGUAUGGCUUGCAGGUUCUGGCAGAGCUCCCCAGAGCUAUGUGGACCCAGCUUUUUGGAUUCCCCUGCCCAAUCCUAAUGAUGCCUGCACUCUCCCUGUAACAAUCACAAGGGUGUUUGACCAGAACUCACUGAAGACUUCUGUGAAGUACUUGACCAUGCCCAAGGUGAUGUAUAGAUUCCUGACGUCUCUGGGCCCCUACUCUGGACCAGGGCUGGGGACCCAAAGGUGGAUCCAACCCAGCCUGGCUGUGAGCACCAAGCCUGGCAAAGGAGAGAGGUUCCUGCUCUGGAGAAGUUAGCCCUGGAAUCUUGAAUGGCUCUUCCUAGGGGUAUCCAUUGCCAAAGCCAAGCCUUUAAAUGAACACAAGUGGAGACUGAGGCAUCCCUCCAGGAGACAUUAUUUGCCAAGCUCACACAGCAAGUCAGUGCAUUGUUGAGACUGGUUCCCAGAACACCACCUCCUGGCCUGGGCUCUUUCUCUGCCUCUUGGUCCCAGAGGCCAGCCUUUACAAGGCACACAAAGGUCACUGCACUGUGAGCCAGGAACCUGGUUCAGGGUCUGCUUCUACUAAACGAUGGCUGUGUCACUUGGAUCACUCAAUUCUCUGUACUAGGUCUCAGUCACCCAAGGCGGAUGACUAAGGGGCCCCCCACUCCAACUGUGAGUCUGGGAUUCUCUGAAAUGUGGUAUUUUUCCAGGCUGUGGAGUUCCUCUAUGGCAGUCUGUGGGACACUGCUGGGGUGUUUUCCUCCAGGCUGAAGCUAAGGAGGAGUAUAAAGAGACAGUACUUGCUUCAGCCGCGGGCUGUGCAGACCUCUCCGAGGAUGACCUGGGGUCUGUCUUACACACCUUGGAGCCCUGCGGAUCUCUCCAAUGGUAAGUCCCCUCACGCACUUGGCACAGAACUGUGAGAAUGGCCUCUGAUGGUGCUUGCUUCCAUCAAUGUUCACCCAGGCCAGGUCUCCAAGGCCCAAGGUGGCCCUGCUUGUCCAGGGCUAAGGACUUCAUCCUCCGGGAGACUUCAAGCCCACCCAGAACCUAGUACUAGGCACGUGGGCUCUUCCUACCUCACACUGGGCCUCAGAGAGGCAACAUUCAACCUCCAAAGCCUGAGAGGCACUGGCCAGCUGGGUCCUGGACCCAGAGAUGCUCAAAAUGCCAGAGAGGGGAGGUCCCUUCCAGGCCAAGUGGUCCAACCCACUACCACUGACAUUUUGCAAUCAGGGAAACUGAGCCCAGAGAGGGGAAGGAGCUUGCAUAACACCCAAGUAGGCUGGUGGCAGGGUUACAACCAGAAUCUUUGUCUCCUGCCCAGGGCUCUCCCCUGCAUCAAACACAAUCCACUGAGAUCUAGGCUGAGCCCACCUCCAAUCCUCCAGAACCUUGACAAUCCUUGACAGAAGGCUCCUUCAGCUCAUCCCCUGUCUAUUCUAGGUGAUUCGAGAGAUUUCCCUUCAGCUGGAUGGUCCUUUAUCCUAAAGCUUCCUGGUGUUCCCUCCCCAUCUGCUCAGGGUUAAUCUUUUCCUGCUUCUAGGAUCUGCUCCAUCAACAGGCCAUAACUGCCGCUCCUGUUUUCUUGCUGUGGUCCAACCAACUCCUUGCAGCUCUAGCAUUUCCAAGGAUGGGGAGUCUCUGGUUGCGCCUAGGGUUUCCCUUCUGUCACUGGCCAGUCCCAGGUCUACUGCUUUCCCAUGACCACCUCAGCCUUGAACCCCAUCAGUCUCUCCUGGGAUGCUGCGGACCAUUCCUUGCAGACUCCCUCUCUGCUGGACCCAGGGCCAGUGGGAAUGAUAAGAGCUCACGUGUGGGGUUGCCAUGAAGUUUUAGUGAGUUAAUGCCCGCAUUAGGUAUAUAAGGUGCAUCUGUGAACUCUCAUGUUGCAAGGUAUGUUCAGGUGAUAAGAAGGAGAUCCUUGAAGCUAGCGCCUAUGGUGGCCUAGGCACCUGGGGGCAGAAGAGGGAAGGUGGCCGGGAGGAAUCUGGGGUAGUUGGGAGUGAUAGAAACCAGGAGUGUUUUAAGUUGGGGAAGAAGUUGGUUAGGUUGGCUUCUAGAAAAACGGCAAGGGGAGCUGAGUUGCCUCCCUGCCUAGACUUGCUGAGUACCGUGGGAGCCGGUGGUACCCGGGAAGGACCACACUGGGCCCAGGGCCAGAGCCCUCAGGAUGAUUUUGUGUGUGUCCCUCAACCUUCCCAGCCCCCCGUGUCCUUUUCUUUGGAACCGCUGCAGCCCCUAGCCCAGCCCAGCCCAUCUGGUGCUCUCGGACCAAGCUGGGCCAAGGCUACAAAAAGCCAGUGGGUGCCUGGGUCCUGUCAUUCCACAAUGACAGAGCCUGUGCUGUCUCCCAAAGCAGCCCAUGCCAUCUCCUCAGAGGCUUGUUCAAAAUUAUAUUUUUCAUAAAGGUGAAGUAAUGGUGGCCGACAGUCUGUCAUUCAACGUUGAUCGUGCUCCCUUCAUGCGGCGGGCAUUGUUCCAGGUGCUUUAAUGAUUUAACUCAUUUAACUUUCCAUCAAGCCUUUGAUGCAGGAGCUAUUAUUCUCCCCACAUCCCUGUUUAACAGAUGGGUAAACUGAAGCAUGAGAGGUUAAGCCAUUUCCCCAAUGUGAAGGAGCCAGGACUCCACAUGGAAGUCUCACCCCAGAGCCCCUCGCUGGACGCCCACCCUCUCCUGCCUCUCUGAGCCCCAGGAUCCCUCCCGCUCACCUGCAUUCCCACAAAGAAGUUACUGGCUUUCCCCACACACCCGUCUGCUCUCCCCCAUGGGCCCCCUCUUGGUCCUGCCCGUACACAGGAGCCAAGCCUCCUGGUCAAGGUGGGGGCUCAGCUGCCCUUAGCAGAGGCUGCCCCCUCUUCACCCGCACUCCACACACCUGUCAACACAGCCUCAGGCUGUGAGGGCUUCUCACAUGAUGCAGCUCCCCGUCCCUGUAAGGGGUCUCAUUUCCGCACUGCUCUGUCUACCCCACCCCACACAGCACAGCACAGCUCGACCAGCCAGUCACUAGACAUCCAGCAACUCGGCUCAAUUACACCUCCUUAGGGAGACCACCCUGGACUCCCCGGGCUCAGUCAGUCCUCGUUUGGCUCUUCCUACACACCUUGCCUCGCUUCUCUGCAGCAACCAUUUCACAUCCAUGGCUUAAGUGGCUUGAUGGUGUUUCUCGCUUUCUCACCAGCCUGGAUGCUCCGUGAAGUUAACGCCAGGCCUGUGUUCCCACACAUUGCAUCACCAGUGCCUAGCACAGAGCCUGGCACAAACUCAGUGCUCGGAUGUGUGUGCAUGAAUGAAAUACAUCUCUGAGGCCCUGCUCUGAGCCGGGUCCUCGGCUAGACACCGAGAAUGUGGAGACCAGACAGAGAUGCUGGUGAGGAGACAGCCAAGCAAACCAGCAAUGACAACAUAGGAUGAGGAAAUGCAGGAAGCUGUGGGGGCACUGAGAAAGGGUCCCAGACCCAACUAGAAGGACAGUAGGGCCAGGAGGAAUUCACCGGUGGGAGGGAGUGGGGGGGGGAGGGGGGGAGGACUCUGAAACUGGGCCGAACUAGUAAAUGAAGGGUGGAGGGUCUGUCUCCUCCUCCAGACCUCCUUGUCCCAAGGGCAAGGCCAGUGUCCUGAACUCCUGUCUACCACUUGAGGCUUACAGGAGUGUUGGGUCUCUGCUGUGCAUUCAUAGAGCAUUUUAGGUGAUUGAUUUUCCUCCCCUCCUUGGAACACGGCUGGUCUGACGCGCUCUUCAUUGUAUUAGUUGUGCCCUCUUCUCCCAGCCCUGCCUCCAGGUCCUUGCCCAAAGCAGCCUCACCUUUUCCCACCUGGCUACGCUCUCCCCUCCCCACCCACUCCACGGCUCCGUGUCCCUCACCUUCACGGUUCAGCCCACUCACCCAGCUCUGACCGUCUCAACGUGUGGGUGCCGGCAUGUACCCUCUUCACAUGAGAUUUGUUGAUUUCAUAACCAUAAAUAGAUAAAAUGUUCUGAAUAUCUCCCUGUGCAAGUAGAUUGGGGGAGUGAUCACAUAAUGAAAAGGCCUUGGGAGAAAGAAAACAGGCUGCUAAAGAAGCAGCUGAAGACUAGACAGCCACUGCACAGACCAGCUCUAUACAGCGAUUAAACUUCCACUCCACAGACUGGUGAACCCUAGGCCUGGGACUGGGGUGAUACUUGGGAAUCUGUUAGAGAACUUUUGUGUGGUUUCAAGCUCAUGGAUUCAAAAGAACAAUCUGGUAAAAAAAAUAAUAAUAAUAAUAAAAUGGAAAGAAAUAGAAAUCGGGGACCCUGGUUGCUGAUUCUGGAAUUAUUUCAUUCUAGCUGUGUGACCCUGGACAACUUAAUAAACCUCUCUGAGAAGGUGCAUAGAGAUUCUUCCCCGUGGUUAGACUGGAGGCUCCGGGAGGCCCGGGUCCUCAUAAUACCAUGACUCUCUUCCCAUCAGGGCUUUCUGUCUUAAUCACCAAAUAUGGGACACCCCCUUCCCAAAACGCAGUCUUGAGACUAGGGUUGAGGUAAGGAUGGAAUGGAGUACCCUGAUUUUUUGUUGCCAACUCCAACUUUGUUGCCAUGGCAGCAGGAUGUGGAGCAUCACUCCUGCAUGGGGAGGCUCCAUCUAUCUAGCUACAAAGCCUAGCUUCUAGCCUAGUAAGGAGCCCAGCCCAUGAGGCUCCCCAAUCUCUCCUCCCCUAGUAGUGCAGAGACACUACUAGUGCUUCUUGGCAUUUGGAAGGAUAAAGGAAGAUAAACUGACAGCUUGGUAUGCCCUGGGCCCGGAGAGCUUCUGGCUGAGAAAGAGAGAGACAAGUGGAGAUAUUCCUUGUGUGAAGUCAUCCUACCCUAAAGGUUGGAAAACUUGCUCUGCAGAGGGUCAGUCUGUAAAUAUAUUAGGUUUUCAAGCCAUUUCGUCUCUGUUGUGACUGCUCAACUCUGCCAUUGUAGGGUGAAAACAGCCAUAGACAAUACAUAAACAAAUAGAUGUAGUUGUGUGUCAAUAAAACUUUAUUUACAAAAACACUCAGUGGGCCAGAUUUGGAAUGCUGGCCAGAGUUUGCAGACCCCUGCUGUACCCCAUAGUGCAAGAGAAAGAGCCUGGGCUGGGGGCAGGGAACUAGGCUUAAGACCCAGAACCACCAAUGACUUGCUGUGUGAAUUUGGGUAAGUCAGUAUCUAUCUCUGAUCCUCAGUUUCACCAUCUAUCAAAUUGCUAUAACAGUAUCAGCCAGAUUUGCCAUGAGAAUAGGUCUAACAGGUCAGAGCAAAUCUCAAGUCUUUCCAUCACUUCAAGUAGAGCUAACUCCCCUCCCAAGGCCAUACCCUUGCCUGCUAAGGGUGGCAGCAGCCUGCUGGAAGGAAGAGGUGUUUCUCUCUAGAGUCAGAUCCUUAGUCUGGCUUUCCAACCUCCAUCCUCAAGUGACCCCAUUUCUGUAGCAAGCCAAGCACAGGAGGAAACGAGGAAUCCCUUCUUUUCCACCAUCCAGUCAUUUGGCAGGAGGCUACAGUUCACUUGAGAAAGUGAUGUGGCUGCAGUGGCUCGUGGCCAGGCUUUAGAGGAGGCUUUUGAGAAUCAAGAGUUAGGAAAGGUGAGAUUCAGUGCUCCCCAGAUCAUUUAUCUAUGUAUCAGGGAAGCUGGGGUGCAUGGCAAGAAGACACAGUCGCGAUCUGGUGGUGACUCACAGCACCAUCAAUUGCAUUAAUGGAUGUUUCUUGAGCCAUCUUGUCUGCCUGUCUGGUCUGACCACCACUGAGAUCUCGUGUCCUUUGGCAUCUUGUCAUAUGCUCUGAAGACCCAUAAAGUGAUUCUCUAUCCCCCCCACACACACUCUCUCUCCUUCUCUCUCUCUCUCCCCUCCUCCCUUUCCUCUCUCUUUCUCCUUCUUGUAUCAUAAACACAUUUAUCCAGGGCAGGACAGAAUACACUGCAACAGUCCUCUGUCAAGAAAGAUCCUUGCCCCAAAUAUCCAGAAAAGCAGCCCUAACCAGGAGUCUCCAUACUGUUCUAGAGAAGCAGACACCCCCCCCCCUUCCCAUCACUUUCCAUCUCCCUCUCAGGAGGCCAUCCUCCCCAAAAUCUCUGGAAAAGAUACACCUUCUCUUUGAGAGUGGGUAAGGGGUGAUGUCUCUCCAGGUCCCCAAUAAAGCUAUGCAAGACAGGAGCAAGGGAUCUCACGGCCUGUUCUUGCUAUAAAAAGACCUUUUUCAGAAAAAAAUAAUAAAGAAAGAAAUCAGCCAAUCCGUCCUCAAUGCCA
rnacentral:lncRNA from 1 species